rnacentral:rRNA from 1 species
GAUGAACGCUGGCGGCGUGCCUAAUACAUGCAAGUCGAGCGAACUGAUUAGAAGCUUGCUUCUAUGACGUUAGCGGCGGACGGGUGAGUAACACGUGAGCAACCUGCCUGUAAGACUGGGAUAACUUCGGGAAACCGAAGCUAAUACCGGAUAGGAUCUUCUCCUUCAUGGGAGAUGAUUGAAAGAUGGUUUCGGCUAUCACUUACAGAUGGGCCCGCGGUGCAUUAGCUAGUUGGUGAGGUAACGGCUCACCAAGGCAACGAUGCAUAGCCGACCUGAGAGGGUGAUCGGCCACACUGGGACUGAGACACGGCCCAGACUCCUACGGGAGGCAGCAGUAGGGAAUCUUCCGCAAUGGACGAAAGUCUGACGGAGCAACGCCGCGUGAGUGAUGAAGGCUUUCGGGUCGUAAAACUCUGUUGUUAGGGAAGAACAAGUACAAGAGUAACUGCUUGUACCUUGACGGUACCUAACCAGAAAGCCACGGCUAACUACGUGCCAGCAGCCGCGGUAA